GCUUGGCUUCUUUGCUGACGAGUGGCGGACGGGUGAGUAAUGUCUGGGAAACUGCCUGAUGGAGGGGGAUAACUACUGGAAACGGUAGCUAAUACCGCAUAACGUCGCAAGACCAAAGAGGGGGACCUUCGGGCCUCUUGCCAUCGGAUGUGCCCAGAUGGGAUUAGCUAGUAGGUGGGGUAACGGCUCACCUAGGCGACGAUCCCUAGCUGGUCUGAGAGGAUGACCAGCCACACUGGAACUGAGACACGGUCCAGACUCCUACGGGAGGCAGCAGUGGGGAAUAUUGCACAAUGGGCGCAAGCCUGAUGCAGCCAUGCCGCGUGUAUGAAGAAGGCCUUCGGGUUGUAAAGUACUUUCAGCGGGGAGGAAGGGAGUAAAGUUAAUACCUUUGCUCAUUGACGUUACCCGCAGAAGAAGCACCGGCUAACUCCGUGCCAGCAGCCGCGGUAAUACGGAGGGUGCAAGCGUAAUCGGAAUUACUGGGCGUAAAGCGCACGCAGGCGGUUUGUUAAGUCAGAUGUGAAAUCCCCCCGG
rnacentral:rRNA from 1 species